rnacentral:misc_RNA from 1 species
UUUCCGUAGGUGAACCUGUGGAAGGAUCAUUAUAAAUGAAAAACGAAUAACUUCAGGGAAGAAGGGAACCUGCACGGUGACCUCCCCUGUCGGGCCACCCAAUACCUUCAAAAUGCCGCCGUCCUAGCGGUGGCAGACGAAAAAAAAACAAGAAAAACAAAAUAGAACCAGGCACGGUGGCCCGUUCACCUUCACACAACCCUCCGAGUACCGCUUCCAUGUUGCUUCCCCGCAAAUCCACCUCUUUGGUGAGCGCGGGGGAGGUCCGCAUCAAAUUCACCUGAAUGUCACAGCAGUCAGACAGCCAUUCAUGGAAACAAUAAAACUUUCAACAACGGAUCUCUUGGUUCCC